rnacentral:rRNA from 1 species
UACGUAGGGGCCUAGCGUUGUCCGGAUUUAUUGGGCGUAAAGAGCUCGUAGGCGGUUCGGCAAGUCGGAUGUGAAAUCUCCACGCUCAACGUGGAGGGGCCAUUCGAAACUGCCGUGACUCGAGUCCGGUAGGGGAGUGUGGAAUUCCCGGUGUAGCGGUGAAAUGCGCAGAUAUCGGGAGGAACACCAGUAGCGAAGGCGGCACUCUGGGCCGGUACUGACGCUGAGGUGCGAAAGCGUGGGGAGCGAACAGG